rnacentral:rRNA from 1 species
CCUACGGGAGGCUGCAGUGGGGAAUAUUGGACAAUGGGCGAAAGCCUGAUCCAGCCAUGCCGCGUGUGUGAAGAAGGCCUUCGGGUUGUAAAGCACUUUCAGUGGGGAAGAAAGCCUUGGGGCUAAUACCCUCGAGGAAGGACAUCACCCACAGAAGAAGCACCGGCUAACUCCGUGCCAGCAGCCGCGGUAAUACGGAGGGUGCGAGCGUUAAUCGGAAUUACUGGGCGUAAAGCGCGCGUAGGCGGUCUGAUAAGCCGGUUGUGAAAGCCCCGGGCUCAACCUGGGAACGGCAUCCGGAACUGUCAGGCUAGAGUGUAGGAGAGGAAGGUAGAAUUCCCGGUGUAGCGGUGAAAUGCGUAGAGAUCGGGAGGAAUACCAGUGGCGAAGGCGGCCUUCUGGACUGACACUGACGCUGAGGUGCGAAAGCGUGGGUAGCAAACAGGAUUAGAUACCCGAGUAGC